GAAAGGUUGCUCAAUCGCAGAUGGACCAAUGGUGAAAGCACACCUGAACAAAGGAAAAGCAGACAUAUUUAUCCCUUACACAUUUGGGUUGUCCUUACUGCUGUGUCCUGCAUCCAUUGGCUGGAGCGGAACCUCACACUCUUAAACUGAUACCUGAUUUGCUAAUAGCCUAAAACUUCCUAAAUAGCUGCUAAGAAGACCGCAGCAGCCUUCAUAAGUUGUAUCUUCCCCUUUACUGAAGAAUCACCAGUCACCUACAGUUGCACAGCAAGCAUGGGAAAAUAACUGAAAUUUUGAUGUGCCAUUUCUCACUUCUUUAAGAACCCUCCUUCAAAUUCCUGAAUAAAGCUGCUAACUAAGACA
rnacentral:lncRNA from 1 species